CGUGGGGGCAGCUUACCAUGCAGUCGAACGGUAACAGAGAAUAGCUUGCUAUUUUGCUGGCGAGUGGCGGACGGGUGAGUAAUGCUUGGGAAUUUGCCUUGUUGCGGGGGACAACAGUUGGAAACGACUGCUAAUACCGCAUAAUGUCUACGGACCAAAGGUGGCCUCUAUUUAUAUGCUAUCGCGACAAGAUGAGCCCAAGUGGGAUUAGCUAGUUGGUAAGGUAAUGGCUUACCAAGGCGUCGAUCCCUAGCUGGUCUUAGAGGAUGACCAGCCACACUGGAACUGAGACACGGUCCAGACUCCUACGGGAGGCAGCAGUGGGGAAUAUUGCACAAUGGAGGAAACUCUGAUGCAGCCAUGCCGCGUGUGUGAAGAAGGCUUUCGGGUUGUAAAGCACUUUCAGCGAGGAGGAAAGGGUAAUGGUUAAUAUCCAUUAUCUGUGACGUUACUCGCAGAAGAAGCACCGGCUAACUCCGUGCCAGCAGCCGCGGUAAC
rnacentral:rRNA from 1 species